ensembl:lncRNA
GCCCUCCCUGUGCCCUGAGCUGCUGGAGGGGAGCCUAAGCCGGGGACAUGGGCACCCCGGGAGGAGGAGGACGGCGGACGCGGUAUUUGAGAUGGCGGCAAACACUGCCAGGCUCGCAGAUCCAAACAAGCUCCUUCCAUUCUCACAACCACCAGGGGACUGCUCAUGGCACCCCACCUACAGGCAAAGAAGUGGAGACACAGGAAGGUCACCGAGCAAGUUGGUGACAGAACUGGGAUUAAUCCAGGGCGCCUGGCUUCAGAGGCUGCUCCCCUAACAACAGGAUGUGGGGCACAGGUGGCCCCCACCCCACCCCAGGUAACAGCCCAGCAGGUGCAGGACUGGGUCUGAAGGCAGAAGUAAGUCUCACUGUCCGCUGGCAAAGCGGCCAUUCUCCUUCUGGAGAAAGCUGCUUUCCUCCUGGUCCCCUGGAAUCAUCCACUCAGGGCCUGCAGCCCAGGCCCCUCCACCAGCUGAAAACCGUGCCUUUCCAGGACAGACUCCACAGGGCGCCAAACAGCCAACUGCCCUGCCCCAGGGCCCCCGAGUUUCCAUUUCCUUUCCCAGCAGCAAGACUCUCUGCCCUUUCGACGGGCCCUGGGGGUGUGUGUGCAUGUGAGCGUGUACCAGGGUGUGUGUGUGCAUGUGGGCAGGUACCUGGGUGUGUGUGGUGUGUACCUGGGUGUGUGUGUGCAUGUCCAUGUGUACCUGUACCUGAGGGUGUGUGUGCAUGUGAGAUUUACCUGGGUGUGUGUGUACCUGGAUGUGUGUGUGUGAUGUGCGUGUGGUGUGUGUGUGUGAGCGUGUACCUGUACCUGGGUGUGUGCAUGUGGGCAUGUACCUGGGUGUGUGUGUGCAUGUGAGUGUUUACCUGGGUGUGUGUGUGCAUGUGGGCAUGUACCUGGGGGGUGUGUGCAUGUGAGUGUGUACCUGGGUGUGUGUGUGUGCAUGUGGGCAUGUACCUGGGUGUGUGUGGUGUGUACCUGGGUGUGUGUGUGCAUGUCCAUGUGUACCUGUACCUGGGUGUGUGUGUGCAUGUGAGGGUGCACCUGGGUUUGUGUGUGUGUGUGCAUGUGACCGUGUACCAGGGUGUGUGUGUGCAUGUGGGCAUGUACCUGGGUGUGUGUGGUGUGUACCUCGGUGUGUGUGUGCAUGUCCAUGUGUACCUGUACCUGGGUGUGUGUGUGCAUGUGGGCAUGUACCUGGGGGUGUGUGUGCAUGUGAGCGUGUACCUGGGUUUGUGUGUGUGUGUGUGUGCAUGUGACCGUGUACCAGGGUGUGUGUGUGCAUGUGGGCAUGUACCUGGGUGUGUGUGGUAUGUACCUGGGUGUGUGUGUGCAUGUCCAUGUGUACCUGUACCUGAGGGUGUGUGUGCAUGUGAGUGUUUACCUGUGUGUGUGUGUGAUGUGUGUGUGAGCGUGUACCUGGGUGGUGUGUGUGCAUGUGAGUGUGUACCUGGGUGUGUGUGUGUGAUGUGUGUG